rnacentral:tRNA from 1 species
AUUAAAGUGGCAGAGAAAUAUGCGAGGAAUUUAAGCUUCCUCUACGAAAUUUUCCUUUAAUA